UAAAGCAAGAAAGGGCGUAUGGGGAAUGCCUAGGCACACUCCGGCGAAGAAGGACGCAGCAAACAGCGAAAUGCGACGGUGAGCGGUAAGCACGUGAAGAGCCGUCGAUAUCCGAAUGGGGGAACCCACACGGAGUCAUAUCCGUGUAUCACAUGUCGAAUACAUAGACAUGAUGAGGCGAGACGCAGGGAACUGAAACAUCUAAGUACCUGCAGGAAGAGAAAAUAAGAAUGAUUUUCUGAGUAGCGGCGAGCGAAAGGGAAAGAGCCCAAACCGAUCUUAGGAUCGGGGUAGUAGGAUCAUCGAGAAAUCUGACAGAGGAUCAUAGAGGAAUCACAUGGGAAGGUGAGCGAGAGAGGGUGAGAGCCCCGUACUCGAAAUGAGAGACUGGAGAGAGAUGACACCUGAGUAGGGCGGGACACGAGAAAUCCUGUCUGAAUCAGCCGGGACCAUCCGGCAAGGCUAAAUACGAGAGAGUGACCGAUAGUGAACCAGUACCGUGAGGGAAAGGUGAAAAGAACCCCGGGAGGGGAGUGAAAGAGAACCUGAAACCAUAUGCCUACAAGAAGUCAGAGCCCGUUAAAGGGUGAUGGCGUGCCUUUUGUAGAAUGAACCGGCGAGUUACUGUAUGGAGCGAGGUUAAGCAGGAUAUGCGGAGCCGAAGCGAAAGCGAGUCUUAAGAGGGCGAGAGUUGCAUGCAGUAGACCCGAAACCGGGUGAUCUAGCCAUGACCAGGUUGAAGUUGGGGUAAAACCCGAUGGAGGACCGAACCGACCCCCGUUGAAACGUUGGCGGAUGAGUUGUGGCUAGGGGUGAAAUUCCAAUCGAACCCGGAGAUAGCUGGUUCUCCCCGAAAUAGCUUUAGGGCUAGCGUCGAGGUAAGUUGCGUGAAGGUAGAGCACUGAAUAUGUGAUGGCCCCAUCUCGGGGUACUGAGCAUAAUCAAACUGCGAAUGUCACGCCAACAUGCUCGGCAGUCAGACAGCGGGUGAUAAGGUCCGUUGUCAAGAGGGAAACAGCCCAGACCAUCAGCUAAGGUCCCAAAAUGUAUGCUAAGUGGAAAAGGAUGUGGAGAUGUACAGACAACUAGGAGGUUGGCUCAGAAGCAGCCAUCCUUUAAAGAGUGCGUAACAGCUCACUAGUCGAAUGACUCUGCGCCGAUAAUUUACCGGGGCUAAGCAUACUACCGAAGCUAUGGAUCCCAAGGGAUGGUAGGGGAGCGUUCCAUGAACGGAGAAGUACGACCGAAAGGACGUGUGGAGAUCAUGGAAGAGAGAAUGCCGGUGUGAGUAGCGGAACGUGGGUGAGAAUCCCACGCACCGAAAACCCAAGGUUUCCAGAGGAAGGUUCGUCCGCUCUGGGUAAGUCGGGACCUAAGGCGAGGCCGAAAGGCGUAGUCGAUGGACAACAGGUAGAGAUUCCUGUACCCGUAUAUAUGUGAAGGAAUGACGGAGAGAGGAAGCUGCAGCCAGCGGCUGGAAGAGCUGGUGCAAGCGAGAUAUCGGGAUGGCAGGCAAAUCCACCAUCCGAAACGAGAAGGCGUGAAGCGUACGGAAAGCUACGGCGAGUACGGAAGGCAGUGGAGGAACUUCCAAGAAAAGUUUCUAACGUAAAGUAUAUAUGGCCCGUACCGAAAAUGGACACACAUGGGUGAGGAGAGAAUCCUAAGGUGAGCGAGAGAACUAUAGCUAAGGAACUCUGCAAAAUGACUCCGUAACUUAGGGAGAAGGAGUGCUCAUAGAGAUAUGAGCCGCAGUGAAACGGCCCAAGCGACUGUUUACCAAAAACACAGCUCUCUGCUAAGCCGCAAGGCGAAGUAUAGGGGGUGACGCCUGCCCGGUGCUGGAAGGUUAAGGGGAGGGGUUAACGCAAGUGAAGCCCUGAACUGAAGCCCCAGUAAACGGCGGCCGUAACUAUAACGGUCCUAAGGUAGCGAAAUUCCUUGUCAGGUAAGUUCUGACCCGCACGAAAGGCGUAACGAUUUGGGCGCUGUCUCAGCUGUAGACUCGGUGAAGUCUUAGUACCUGUGAAGAUGCAGGUUACCCGCGAC
rnacentral:rRNA from 1 species